rnacentral:rRNA from 1 species
AGAGUUUGAUCCUGGCUCAGAUUGAACGCUGAUGCUUUACACUGCAAGUCGAACGGUAACAGGCCUUCGGGCGCUGACGAGUGGCGAACGGGUGAGUAAUGUAUCGGAACGUACCUUUCAGUGGGGGAUAACGUAGCGAAAGUUACGCUAAUACCGCAUAUUCUGUGAGCAGGAAAGCAGGGGAUCGCAAGACCUUGCGCUGAUUGAGCGGCCGAUAUCAGAUUAGCUAGUUGGUGAGGUAAAGGCUCACCAAGGCGACGAUCUGUAGCGGGUCUGAGAGGAUGAUCCGCCACACUGGAACUGACACGGUCCAGACUCCUACGGGAGGCAGCAGUGGGGAAUUUUGGACAAUGGGGGCAACCCUGAUCCAGCCAUGCCGCGUGAGUGAAGAAGGCCUUCGGGUUGUAAAGCUCUUUCGGCCGGGAAGAAAUCGUACGGGCUAAUACCCUGUGCGGAUGACGGUACCGGCAUAAGAAGCACCGGCUAACUACGUGCCAGCAGCCGCGGUAAUACGUAGGGUGCGAGCGUUAAUCGGAAUUACUGGGCGUAAAGCGUGCGCAGGCGGUUUUGUAAGACAGGCGUGAAAUCCCCGGGCUCAACCUGGGAACUGCGCUUGUGACUGCAAGGCUAGAGUAUGGCAGAGGGGGGUGGAAUUCCACGUGUAGCAGUGAAAUGCGUAGAGAUGUGGAGGAACACCAAUGGCGAAGGCAGCCCCCUGGGCCAAUACUGACGCUCAUGCACGAAAGCGUGGGUAGCAAACAGGAUUAGAUACCCUGGUAGUCCACGCCCUAAACGAUGUCAACUAGGUGUUGGGUGGGUAAAACCAUUUAGUACCGUAGCUAACGCGUGAAGUUGACCGCCUGGGGAGUACGGCCGCAAGGUUAAAACUCAAAGGAAUUGACGGGGACCCGCACAAGCGGUGGAUGAUGUGGAUUAAUUCGAUGCAACGCGAAAA